rnacentral:rRNA from 1 species
GGACGAACGCUGGCGGCGUGCCUAAUACAUGCAAGUCGAACGGCGUUUUCUAUGGAAGCUUGCUUCCACUGAGAAGAUAGUGGCGAACGGGUGAGUAACACGUGGGUAACCUGCCCAUAAGAGGGGGGAUAACAUCCGGAAACGGGUGCUAAUACCGCAUAGUUUUCUUGAUCGCAUGAUCGGGAAAGGAAAGACGGCCUUUGUGCUGUCGCUUAUGGAUGGACCCGCGGCGUAUUAGUUAGUUGGUGAGGUAACGGCUCACCAAGACGAUGAUACGUAGCCGACCUGAGAGGGUGAUCGGCCACAUUGGGACUGAGACACGGCCCAAACUCCUACGGGAGGCAGCAGUAGGGAAUCUUCCGCAAUGGACGAAAGUCUGACGGAGCAACGCCGCGUGAGUGAAAGAAGGUUUUCGGAUCGUAAAACUCUGUUGUCAGAGAAGAACAAGUUGGAGAGUAACUGCUCCAGCCUUGACGGUAUCUGACCAGAAAGCCACGGCUAACUACGUGCCAGCCGCCGC